rnacentral:lncRNA from 1 species
GUCUGUGUCGUUUGUGCAAUAAUGGUACUGGUGCUAUGUUUACGGUCUCAGCUCAUGAACCAAGCAAGAACAGCGCCAGCUCAAUAAUGCUGGAUCUACUGGCUAGGGCUUCUCGUUGUCCUGUGAGAGGCCACAACUUCUUGGAGGAAAAAAACAUGAAGAAGCACCCACGUGGAGCACAAAAAAGAAGCAACAGUUCUUUC